rnacentral:rRNA from 1 species
AUUGAACGCUGGCGGCAUGCUUUACACAUGCAAGUCGAACGGUAACAGGCCGCAAGGUGCUGACGAGUGGCGAACGGGUGAGUAAUGCAUCGGAACGUGCCCAGUCGUGGGGGAUAACUACUCGAAAGAGUAGCUAAUACCGCAUACGAUCUAUGGAUGAAAGCGGGGGACCGGAAGGCCUCGCGCGAUUGGAGCGGCCGCUGUCAGAGUAGGUAGUUGGUGGGGUAAAGGCUCACCAAGCCAACGAUCUGUAGCUGGUCUGAGAGGACGACCAGCCACACUGGGACUGAGACACGGCCCAGACUCCUACGGGAGGCAGCAGUGGGGAAUUUUGGACAAUGGGCGCAAGCCUGAUCCAGCAAUGCCGCGUGCAGGAAGAAGGCCUUCGGGUUGUAAACUGCUUUUGUACGGAACGAAACGGCUCUGGUUAAUACCCGGGGCUAAUGACGGUACCGUAAGAAUAAGCACCGGCUAACUACGUG